CAGCCUACGGGAGGCAGCAGUGGGGGAUAUUGCACAAUGGGGGAAACCCUGAUGCAGCGACGCCGCGUGGAGGAAGAAGGUCUUCGGAUUGUAAACUCCUGUCCGAGGGGACGAUAAUGACAGUACCUCAGGAGGAAGCUCCGGCUAACUAUGUGCCAGCAGCCGCGGUAAUACAUAGAGAGCAAGCGUUAUCCGGAAUUAUUGGGUGUAAAGGGUGCGUAGACGGGAAAUUAAGUUAGUUGUGAAAUCCCUUGGCUUAACUGAGGAACUGCAACUAAAACUGAUUUUCUUGAGUACUGGAGAGG
rnacentral:rRNA from 1 species